ensembl:lincRNA
GAACUGCUGAUAGUAAAAGGCUGUGUCAAGCUGACUGUGAGUUCAACCUACUGGAGCACUGCCACCACUAUGGGGUUUCUGAUUGAACUUUCCUCUCUUUAUUGCUGCUGAAACCUUUCAGCAUGGAUCAGUAUGGAGCUCUGACAUGCUGUUUUGAUUACAUCUCAGCUCAUCCAUUUAAGAAGCCUGAAAAGUUGUUUCAGCAGAUUUCCUGCAGGGUGUCACACUCUGUAUUUGCAGAAAAGUUGUUCAAGUUUCAAGACUGGGGAAUACUGAUAGCAUCAGACAUGGAAGUUCUUUGAAGAAUCUCUAAGGAUCACUAGUCGUUUUGGAAUUAGAAAUCCUUUGAAACUCUAUCCAGAAAAGUGCACAUGGAAUUUUAUAGACAUGAAGGAUUCACCCCAGAUGAAGAAUCCCUGAAAGAAAAAUAAACCCUUUCCUGUGUCUCACAUUCUCACUUCCUAGAGACCGCCAGAACACACCGGUUGUUACCCUGAAAAACAGUAACUGAAUUUUGUUUCCAUUAAAAAAUCAUCUCAGAAUGGGAAGGGAGUCCAUGAAGUAUAAAAGCAUAAGAAGAAAAAAAAAGACAUAGAAAAAAGCCAAUGGAUCUUGCUUCAUGAAAUAAAAGAUUGUUCGUCAAAGAACAUCAUAAACAAGAUUGAGAAGAAAACAAGAAAUCUGGGGGAAAUGAUUACAGCAUUAAUAUAAACAUGAAUUUUUUAAAUCAAUGAGAAAAACAGUAAAAAAAAUGUGAAAAAUGGUCAAAAAUAAGUGAAAAUACCAUCUUUUUCUUACAGCAAUUAUGGAGUAAUUGCUAUGUGUCAUAAACAGAAGAUUUUGGGGGCAAACACCCCAUCUUCAAGAACUUCAUUAACAGUAAAUGAAACAUAAAUAACCAAUUAACAAAUGAAAAAUGCCUAGUUUCUCUAUCAAAGAAAUGCACAAAACCAAAAUAGUUAAAACAUUUUGAAAGAUUGUUAACAGAGAUAAAAUACUGAAUAUUAUUGAGGAGAUGAACAUUUGCUUUUAUCUACUUCAGGUAGAUGUUUAUGUAGAAAGUUUUUCUGGAAUUAUAUAGGCAAGAUGUAUUAAGAACUUUAAAAAGUGGAUGCUUGCUAAGGUUUGGAUAUGAGGUGGCCCCCAGAAGCUGUUCAUGCAGAAAAUGAUUAGAUUAUGAGAGUGUUACCUGAUCAGUCCUUCCUAGUUUGAAUGGACUGAAUGGGUGGUAACUCCAGGCAAGUGGGGUGAACCUGGAGGAGGUGGGUUAAUGUGGAUGAGCCCUGGAAACAUGCAUCUUCCCUGCUCACCCUCCCCUCUUUCUCCUUUUCCUGAUCCUGUCAUGAGCUAAGUAGCUUUCCUCUUUGGGGCCCCUACCCUAUAAUGUGCUGCUCACCUUGGACCCAGAACAAUGGAGUUGGCCAUUUAUGGACAAAGACCUCUGAACCUGUGAGCUGCAAAUAAGCUUUCCCUCCUCUAAGUUGUUGUCAUAUAUUUUCGUCACAGAGAUGCAAAAGCUUAUGAAAACGAUACUCCUUGAAUUAUUUAUUCCUCUUCUAAGAUCUCUUUUAAAAAUGCAAUUAAAAAUUCAAAUACUUCCAUAAAAAUUUUUAUCUCAAAAU